rnacentral:tRNA from 1 species
GCCAGCAUAGUGUAGUGGUUUGUGCUCUGGACUAUGACUCUGGAGACCAGGGUCCAAAUCCCAGCUUGGCC